rnacentral:rRNA from 1 species
AUGAACGCUAGCUACAGGCUUAACACAUGCAAGUCGAGGGGCAGCAUUUUAGUUUGCUUGCAAACUGAAGAUGGCGACCGGCGCACGGGUGAGUAACACGUAUCCAACCUGCCGAUAACUCCGGAAUAGCCUUUCGAAAGAAAGAUUAAUACCGGAUAGCAUACGAAUAUCGCAUGAUAUUUUUAUUAAAGAAUUUCGGUUAUCGAUGGGGAUGCGUUCCAUUAGUUUGUUGGCGGGGUAACGGCCCACCAAGACUACGAUGGAUAGGGGUUCUGAGAGGAAGGUCCCCCACAUUGGAACUGAGACACGGUCCAAACUCCUACGGGAGGCAGCAGUGAGGAAUAUUGGUCAAUGGGCGAGAGCCUGAACCAGCCAAGUAGCGUGAAGGAUGAAGGCUCUAUGGGUCGUAAACUUCUUUUAUAUGGGAAUAAAGUUUUCCACGUGUGGAAUUUUGUAUGUACCAUAUGAAUAAGGAUCGGCUAACUCCGUGCCAGCAGCCGCGGUAAUACGGAGGAUCCGAGCGUUAUCCGGAUUUAUUGGGUUUAAAGGGAGCGUAGGUGGAUUGUUAAGUCAGUUGUGAAAGUUUGCGGCUCAACCGUAAAAUUGCAGUUGAAACUGGCAGUCUUGAGUACAGUAGAGGUGGGCGGAAUUCGUGGUGUAGCGGUGAAAUGCUUAGAUAUCACGAAGAACUCCGAUUGCGAAGGCAGCUCACUAGACUGUCACUGACACUGAUGCUCGAAAGUGUGGGUAUCAAACAGGAUUAGAUACCCUGGUAGUCCACACAGUAAACGAUGAAUACUCGCUGUUUGCGAUAUACAGUAAGCGGCCAAGCGAAAGCCUUAAGUAUUCCACCUGGGGAGUACGCCGGCAACGGUGAAACUCAAAGGAAUUGACGGGGGCCCGCACAAGCGGAGGAACAUGUGGUUUAAUUCGAUGAUACGCGAGGAACCUUACCCGGGCUUAAAUUGCAACAGAAUAUAUUGGAAACAGUAUAGCCGUAAGGCUGUUGUGAAGGUGCUGCAUGGUUGUCGUCAGCUCGUGCCGUGAGGUGUCGGCUUAAGUGCCAUAACGAGCGCAACCCUUAUCUUUAGUUACUAACAGGUCAUGCUGAGGACUCUAGAGAGACUGCCGUCGUAAGAUGUGAGGAAGGUGGGGAUGACGUCAAAUCAGCACGGCCCUUACGUCCGGGGCUACACACGUGUUACAAUGGGGGGUACAGAAGGCGGCUACCUGGUGACAGGAUGCUAAUCCCAAAAACCUCUCUCAGUUCGGAUCGAAGUCUGCAACCCGACUUCGUGAAGCUGGAUUCGCUAGUAAUCGCGCAUCAGCCAUGGCGCGGUGAAUACGUUCCCGGGCCUUGUACACACCGCCCGUCAAGCCAUGAAAGCCGGGGGUACCUGAAGUACGUAACCGCAAGGAGCGUCCUAGGGUAAAACUGGUAAUUGGGGCU